AUGGCCACCAACGCACUCAAUCUCGGAGGGUUCUUAAUGCCAGAGAAAGACUGCAUCUCGUCGAAGGACCAAACAAUUUUUUCAAUCUUAGGAGCAGACUCCUUGGUGAAGCUGAUGCUGCUGACGGUAGGGGUAUAUGACUUUGGUCGUAAGACUAGUCUGAGAGCACUAGGCAGCGCAGUACAACACCACAGGGAAGAAACAUAUUCAUCACCUGCUUGGACAACCUGUGAUUUGAUUUACAUCUCUGUGGAAUCAGCCACCCUCUUUGUGAUCAGGCGCCAUUCAACUGAUUCGCAAUCACAGAUUGUAUGGAGGACAAGGAGCACAAUCAUACCAGUGCUGAUUGCAAUAUUAGAACAUCAGUUGCAGAAUUUUGAGAAGUUGACCACCAGGCUGAUCAGACCAGACAUUCAUCUCCACAAGAGCAAUACCGGCGACGGAGGCCAUGGAAGGCGGCCGUGGAUCUGCGCGGCGGUGCGGCGUGCGAGCGGUCGAUUGCGCACCGCGGGUGCCGCGUACGCAUUCCGCAUCCUGUCGUCCCGCUCGCUCGCCGGAGACAGCGCCGCCCGCCGAGAGUUGUGCGACCUGCCGACCGGGUGUGCUGGUUUUGGGCGAUUAGUUUGCUCGGGUUGCAAUAUGAUUUGUGACUUCAAGCUGAAAAGGGCAGCCCAACUAAAGAAAGGAUCAGAAAGUAAGCUCACCGGCCAGUCAAUUUCGAGUGCCACUACAAUGAACGAUCAGCUCAGGAGCUUGGUCUUGGAUCAGACGGCUAGGGGAGAUGAGUUUGCAAGUGUCAUAUCACAUCAGCUUGAAGGACGUGAAUUCAACAUGCCUUCAUACAUCUUCUUUUGA
rnacentral:rRNA from 1 species